rnacentral:lncRNA from 1 species
CAUGAACACCCUGUGCAAGGCCUGAAGACGAAGUGUCGGGGAGGCUUCACACCACACUGCGCCACUGUCGGGGGCUACGCCUGCUGCACGAGGACGCGCAUGCGGCCCCAGCACGGGUCUCCGUGCACCGCAGCUUCAAACGCUCUCCAGGCCCGUUGGUCUUUUGGGUUCUGUGACAGUCGACGUGGAGAUGCACAGUUAUCACAGGGAUGAGGCCAGGCUGACACCACUGACAGCGCGGGACCCGUUCGCCAAGCCAUUCAGACAGGCUAGGAAUUAAACUGAGUCUUUGACCCCAGCUCCCCGUGCUGUCCCCACGGCCGCCUGGGUGAGGGCUGCGGUUCCAUUCUGCCCACUGAGCACUGCUGUCCACACGGUGGAGACCCUCAGGCCCGUACAGGACCAGCCAUGUCCAUAUCCAUUGCCUGGGCUCCCUAUGUGUCCCCCGGUCCCACCGCAGAGGGAGAAAGCCACCCCAUAGCCCCUGGACAGUCUGUUGUGUACACACACUCACAG